AAACCAUGAUGAGGGUACUGUUGCAAUAAAUUCUUAAAUCUAUCUUAUGCUUCAAAUAGUGAUUCUCCAUCUAUCUAAACAAAGCGUUGGAUUUUUAUUCCUCAUAU